rnacentral:lncRNA from 1 species
UGCGUGCGAUGGUACUGACAAUAUUUGUCAGGAUCUCUCUGGUUUGCUUCUGCUUUCAUGGGCCUAGGCCAUUGGAGAAACUCCUUGUCUUGGACGGCCAUGAGCACUUCCGCCCUGGAGGCAUUGAGUGGGGUCAGCUUCUCUGGGACCCACAAGGGCCGUGAUUUUUGUUCUGGGACCCCAAGGGGGAGAGGUCUUUG